GGUUGGGCUUGGAGCUAGGAUUUUUCUGAGUGCAAUGAACCAACUCCCGAGUCUCUAGGAUGUUCCUAAAAAAAUUUGAUUUUUUCCCAUAGGAAUGCAUGGGUUAGGGUUAGGGUUAGGGUUGGAGCUAGGGUUAGGGUUAGGGUUAGGGUUAGGGUUGGAGUUAGGGUUAGUGUUGGAGCUAGGGUUAGGGUUGGGCUUGGAGCUAGGAUUUUUCUGAGUGCACUGAACCAACUCCCGAGUCUCUAGGACAUUCCUAAAAAAAUUUGAUUUUUUCCCAUAGGAAUGCAUGGGUUAGGGUUAGGGUUAGGGUUAGGGUUGGAGCUAGGGUUAGGGUUAGGGUUAGGGUUGGAGUUAGGGUUAGUGUUGGAGCUAGGGUUAGGGUUGGGCUUGGAGCUAGGAUUUUUCUGAGUGCACUGAACCAACUCCCGAGUCUCUAGGACAUUCCUAAAAAAAUUUGAUUUUUUCCCAUAGGAAUGCAUGGGUUAGGGUUAUGGUUAGGGUUAGGGUUGGAGCUAGGGUUAGGGUUAGGGUUAGGGUUGGAGUUAGGGUUAGUGCUGGAGCUAGGGUUAGGGUUGGGCUUGGAGCUAGGAUUUUUCUGAGUGCAAUGAACCAACUCCCGAGUCUCUAGGACGUUCCUAAAAAAAUUUGAUUUUUUCCCAUAGGAAUGCAUGGGUUAGGGUUAGGGUUAGGGUUGGAGCUAGGGUUAGGGUUAGGGUUAGGGUUGGAGUUAGGGUUAGUGUUGGAGCUAGGGUUAGGGUUGGGCUUGGAGCUAGGAUUUUUCUGAGUGCAAUGAACCAACUCCCGAGUCUCUAGGAUGUUCUUAAAAAAAUUUGAUUUUUUCCCAUAGGAAUGCAUGGGUUAGGGUUAGGGUUAGGGUUGGAGCUAGGGUUAGGGUAAGGGUUAGGGUUGGAGUUAGGGUUAGUGUUGGAGCUAGGGUUAGGGUUGGGCUUGGAGCUAGGAUUUUUCUGAGUGCACUGAACCAACUCCCGAGUCUCUAGGACAUUCCUAAAAAAAUUUGAUUUUUUCCCAUAGGAAUGCAUGGUUUAGGGUUAUGGUUAGGGUUAGGGUUGGAGCUAGGGUUAGGGUUAGGGUUGGAGUUAGGGUUAGUGUUGGAGCUAGGGUUAGGGUUGGGCUUGGAGCUAGGACUUUUCUGAGUGCAAUGAACUAACUCCCGAGUCUCUAGGACGUUCCCUAAAAAAAUUUGAUUUUUUCCCAUAGGAAUGCAUGGGUUAGGGUUAGGGUUAGGGUUGGAGCUAGGGUUAGGGUUAGGGUUAGGGUUGGAGUUAGGGUUAGUGUUGGAGCUAGGGUUAGGGUUGGGCUUGGAGCUAGGAUUUUUCUGAGUGCACUGAACCAACUCCCGAGUCUCUAGGACAUUCCUAAAAAAAUUUGAUUUUUUCCCAUAGGAAUGCAUGGGUUAGGGUUAUGGUUAGGGUUAGGGUUGGAGCUAGGGUUAGGGUUAGGGUUAGGGUUGGAGUUAGGGUUAGUGCUGGAGCUAGGGUUAGGGUUGGGCUUGGAGCUAGGAUUUUUCUGAGUGCAAUGAACCAACUCCCGAGUCUCUAGGACGUUCCUAAAAAAAUUUGAUUUUUUCCCAUAGGAAUGCAUGGGUUAGGGUUAGGGUUAGGGUUAGGGUUGGAGCUAGGGUUAGGGUUAGGGUUAGGGUUGGAGUUAGGGUUAGUGUUGGAGCUAGGGUUAGGGUUGGGCUUGGAGCUAGGAUUUUUCUGAGUGCAAUGAACCAACUCCCGAGUCUCUAGGAUGUUCUUAAAAAAAUUUGAUUUUUUCCCAUAGGAAUGCAUGGGUUAGGGUUAGGGUUAGGGUUGGAGCUAGGGUUAGGGUUAGGGUUAGGGUUGGAGUUAGGGUUAGUGUUGGAGCUAGGGUUAGGGUUGGGCUUGGAGCUAGGAUUUUUCUGAGUGCAAUGAACCAACUCCCGAGUCUCUAGGAUGUUCUUAAAAAAAUUUGAUUUUUUCCCAUAGGAAUGCAUGGGUUAGGGUUAGGGUUAGGGUUGGAGCUAGGGUUAGGGUUAGGGUUAGGGUUGGAGUUAGGGUUAGUGUUGGAGCUAGGGUUAGGGUUGGGCUUGGAGCUAGGAUUUUUCUGAGUGCACUGAACCAACUCCCGAGUCUCUAGGACAUUCCUAAAAAAAUUUGAUUUUUUCCCAUAGGAAUGCAUGGUUUAGGGUUAUGGUUAGGGUUAGGGUUGGAGCUAGGGUUAGGGUUAGGGUUGGAGUUAGGGUUAGUGUUGGAGCUAGGGUUAGGGUUGGGCUUGGAGCUAGGACUUUUCUGAGUGCAAUGAACCAACUCCCGAGUCUCUAGGACGUUCCCUAAAAAAAUUUGAUUUUUUCCCAUAGGAAUGCAUGGGUUAGGGUUAGGGUUAGGGUUGGAGCUAGGGUUAGGGUUAGGGUUAGGGUUGGAGUUAGGGUUAGUGUUGGAGCUAGGGUUAGGGUUGGGCUUGGAGCUAGGAUUUUUAUGAGUGCACUGAACCAACUCCCGAGUCUCUAGGACAUUCCUAAAAAAAUUUGAUUUUUUCCCAUAGGAAUGCAUGGGUUAGGGUUAUGGUUAGGGUUAGGGUUGGAGCUAGGGUUAGGGUUAGGGUUAGGGUUGGAGUUAGGGUUAGUGUUGGAGCUAGGGUUAGGGUUGGGCUUGGAGCUAGGAUUUUUCUGAGUGCAAUGAACCAACUCCCGAGUCUCUAGGACGUUCCUAAAAAAAUUUGAUUUUUUCCCAUAGGAAUGCAUGGGUUAGGGUUAGGGUUAGGGUUGGAGCUAGGGUUAGGGUUAGGGUUAGGGUUAGGGUUGGAGUUAGGGUUAGUGUUGGAGCUAGGGUUAGGGUUGGGCUUGGAGCUAGGAUUUUUCUGAGUGCACUGAACCAACUCCCGAGUCUCUAGGACAUUCCUAAAAAAAUUUGAUUUUUUCCCAUAGGAAUGCAUGGGUUAGGGUUAUGGUUAGGGUUAGGGUUGGAGCUAGGGUUAGGGUUAGGGUUAGGGUUGGAGUUAGGGUUAGUGUUGGAGCUAGGGUUAGGGUUGGGCUUGGAGCUAGGAUUUUUCUGAGUGCAAUGAACCAACUCCCGAGUCUCUAGGAUGUUCCUAAAAAAAUUUGAUUUUUUCCCAUAGGAAUGCAUGGGUUAGGGUUAGGGUUAGGGUUGGAGCUAGGGUUAGGGUUAGGGUUAGGGUUAGGGUUGGAGUUAGGGUUAGUGUUGGAGCUAGGGUUAGGGUUGGGCUUGGAGCUAGGAUUUUUCUGAGUGCACUGAACCAACUCCCGAGUCUCUAGGACAUUCCUAAAAAAAUUUGAUUUUUUCCCAUAGGAAUGCAUGGGUUAGGGUUAUGGUUAGGGUUAGGGUUGGAGCUAGGGUUAGGGUUAGGGUUAGGGUUGGAGUUAGGGUUAGUGUUGGAGCUAGGGUUAGGGUUGGGCUUGGAGCUAGGAUUUUUCUGAGUGCAAUGAACCAACUCCCGAGUCUCUAGGACGUUCCUAAAAAAUUUGAUUUUUUCCCAUAGGAAUGCAUGGGUUAUGGUUAGGGUUAGGGUUGGAGCUAGGGUUAGGGUUAGGGUUAGGGUUGGAGUUAGGGUUAGUGUUGGAGCUAGGGUUAGGGUUGGGCUUGGAGCUAGGAUUUUUCUGAGUGCACUGAACCAACUCCCGAGUCUCUAGGACAUUCCUAAAAAAAUUUGAUUUUUUCCCAUAGGAAUGCAUGGGUUAGGGUUAUGGUUAGGGUUAGGGUUGGAGCUAGGGUUAGGGUUAGGGUUAGGGUUGGAGUUAGGGUUAGUGUUGGAGCUAGGGUUAGGGUUGGGCUUGGAGCUAGGAUUUUUCUGAGUGCACUGAACCAACUCCCGAGUCUCUAGGACAUUCCUAAAAAAAUUUGAUUUUUUCCCAUAGGAAUGCAUGGGUUAGGGUUAUGGUUAGGGUUAGGGUUGGAGCUAGGGUUAGGGUUAGGGUUAGGGUUGGAGUUAGGGUUAGUGUUGGAGCUAGGGUUAUGGUUGGGCUUGGAGCUAGGAUUUUUCUGAGUGCAAUGAACCAACUCCCGAGUCUCUAGGACGUUCCUAAAAAAAUUUGAUUUUUUCCCAUAGGAAUGCAUGGGUUAGGGUUAGGGUUAGGGUUGGAGCUAGGGUUAGGGUUAGGGUUAGGGUUAGGGUUGGAGUUAGGGUUAGUGUUGGAGCUAGGGUUAGGGUUGGGCUUGGAGCUAGGAUUUUUCUGAGUGCACUGAACCAACUCCCGAGUCUCUAGGACAUUCCUAAAAAAAUUUGAUUUUUUCCCAUAGGAAUGCAUGGGUUAGGGUUAGGGUUAGGGUUGGAGCUAGGGUUAGGGUUAGGGUUAGGGUUAGGGUUGGAGUUAGGGUUAGUGUUGGAGCUAGGGUUAGGGUUGGGCUUGGAGCUAGGAUUUUUCUGAGUGCACUGAACCAACUCCCGAGUCUCUAGGACAUUCCUAAAAAAAUUUGAUUUUUUCCCAUAGGAAUGCAUGGGUUAGGGUUAUUGUUAGGGUUAGGGUUGGAGCUAGGGUUAGGGUUAGGGUUAGGGUUAGGGUUGGAGUUAGGGUUAGUGUUGGAGCUAGGGUUAGGGUUGGGCUUGGAGCUAGGAUUUUUCUGAGUGCACUGAACCAACUCCCGAGUCUCUAGGACAUUCCUAAAAAAAUUUGAUUUUUUCCCAUAGGAAUGCAUGGGUUAGGGUUAGGGUUAGGGUUGGAGCUAGGGUUAGGGUUAGGGUUAGGGUUGGAGUUAGGGUUAGUGUUGGAGCUAGGGUUAGGGUUGGGCUUGGAGCUAGGAUUUUUCUGAGUGCACUGAACCAACUCCCGAGUCUCUGGGACAUUCCUAAAAAAAUUUGAUUUUUUCCCAUAGGAAUGCAUGGGUUAGGGUUAUGGUUAGGGUUAGGGUUGGAGCUAGGGUUAGGGUUAGGGUUAGGGUUGGAGUUAGGGUUAGUGUUGGAGCUAGGGUUAGGGUUGGGCUUGGAGCUAGGAUUUUUCUGAGUGCAAUGAACCAACUCCCGAGUCUCUUGGACUUUCCUA
rnacentral:lncRNA from 1 species